UAAGUGUUGUGUGUUGUUGCUGCUGUUUCAUAUCGAUCAUAAGUGCGUUCAAUUUGAAAUUGACACGACUACACGGAGACAUUACAAGAAUGUAUGCACAUAUGUAUACGCGUACAAAUUUGGUUCGAAUUCCAUAAGAGUAUAGGCUAAGCAACCGCAAGACUGACAGCAAUCGAUCACGUGUUGCGGAAAGAGCAGUUUAUUUAUUCCUAAUCUAAAUCCAUAUGUUCUGACAAUCAUUUAUACAUAUAUUGUAUUUAUAAUUACAGGUACAUCCAUAUGUAUCUAUUUAAGUGAUAACUUCAAAUGAAUAUAUUCACGUAUGUAUUUUGCCGAGAUUUAAUAAAAAACUACAUACCCUGUACCAUUUGCAAACCUAAAAGUAAAAAGCAAUGACAGACCACAUUGCGACAUGUAACGUCGCUGAGGAAAAUGAGAAGAGAUAACAGAAAAAUUAGGAGCGAAAAGCAGAUUGUAUCGGGAAAAUAUAUGGACUUCAUUUAAAUACUUACUUUUAAGAUAUACAUAAGUAUACAUAUAGUAUAUAUUGAAACUGGACAAUAUUUUAUAAUGAUUACUGUAAAGUAAGUAAAAGUAAGGAGUUUUUUUAUACUCUUAAACAUGUUGAUCGACCUACUAUGUCAACCAAAUUCAGUGCACAUUAUAUUGCCUUUCAUAUAUUACUGAGUGAAAUUUUAAAUUACAUCACAUUUGUGCCCUUCCAGCACCAACGAAUACACACAAAACCGUACAGAUACGAUCAUAUGUGAAUUAUUUAACUGAAAUUUAAAGGGAACUCUUUGCUGAUUAUAGGAACCCUAUAUGCCAAAAUGGGUUGAAUCAUAUGAAGGCUCCCUUAGCAGCAUAUACCAAUAUAAAGAUCUUCGAACUUCCGGUUUACUUAUACCGCAUACAAGUAUCGGCCAAUAUGUGAUGAAUGAUGAAUGAGAAAGUGCGUUUUACAAAUAACAAUGUAUCUUUGAGCCUAAAGUGGAUAAAAUCGAGUGUAAACUAUCAGGCUAAUAUUUUACCAAAAGCUAGACCUUUAUUAUUAUAUGUACAUAUUUCUUUUCAAAAGCGAGGCUGCCUUAGUUAGUUAA